GGGGAAGAUCAGCUGACGCACACCCUGGAUGAUGACAUUGAAGGAUUAAAAUGAACAAAUGAUGUUCGAUGCUAUCUAAUCUUUACAAAGCAGAGGGACUUUGGGCUCAUAGAAGAGGAUGUCAAAGCAGGUGAUGAGGCCAAACCUCCCAGCAAAGGGGGUCUCAAAACUGAUGAUCUCAGGCCGUGGCGGUGUGUCAAAAGCUUCCUCAAAAUAAAGAUUUCGCUUAUGGUAACGUGCCACCAGCAGUCCGUCAGACCUGUCGUCCAUUUGUGGGACAAGAAGACGCAGGGUCUGUCUGGAGGGGGCACGGUUGCAAGUCAGCCAUGUUGGCCACCACGUAAAGGUUGUGGCGGCGAGCCAUGCAGCUCAACUGCUGCUGAAUCUGGAAUGGUCUCUAGGUAGCUGGAAAUUGAUGAACGGCUAAAGUUGAAACCUUGAAGACCAUCCUCUGGAAAGACAAUGAUCUGGGCGCCCUGAUACACAAGCAAAUGGUUCCACGUCGGCUGCUGGUCGUCUACCUGCACAUCUCACCGCCGACAUUUUCUGCAAAGGUACUACAUUCCCUUCUUUUUCCCUUUUAUGUAGCAUUAUGUCUCUGGUGACAAUAGA